GUGGGGAAUAUUGCACAAUGGGGGAAACCCUGAUGCAGCGACGCCGCGUGAGUGACGAAGUAUUUCGGUACGUAAAGCUCUAUCAGCAAGGAAGAAAAUGACGGUACUUGACUAAGAAGCCCCGGCUAACUACGUGCCAGCAGCCGCGGUAAUACGUAGGGGGCAAGCGUUAUCCGGAUUUACUGGGUGUAAAGGGAGCGUAGACGGCAGCGCAAGUCUGGAGUGAAAUCCCAGGGCUCAACCCUGGAACUGCUUUGGAAACUGUGCAGCUAGAGUGCAGGAGAGGUAAGCGGAAUUCCUAGUGUAGCGGUGAAAUGCGUAGAUAUUAGGAGGAACACCAGUGGCGAAGGCGGCUUACUGGACUGUAACUGACGUUGAGGCUCGAAAGCGUGGGGAGCAAACAGGA
rnacentral:rRNA from 1 species